rnacentral:sRNA from 1 species
GCAAUGUGCGGACAAAAAGG